UCCUGGCAUUCUCUGCAGUCAACAGUGAGAGGUGGCUGUGACACCAACAUUAAGCACCUCCAAAGGAUGGUGUGAGGAGAAGCCUGCUUGGCGGCAUUCAGUGAGGGCCAGCAUUUUGUCUAAGGCAGUGCUGAGAUCCUGCAUUGAGACAUGAUUAUUGCCAGAAACUUCAAAAGAUGCAAGUAACUCUGCAUUAGAGAGUGUGAUGAAAAGCUGUUCUGCAUGGAAAACUCAUUUUAACAUCUAUCUGAAAAGGCUUCCAACCUCAAAAUAGAUGAAAUCAGAGUGUGGCAAUAACAGCUGUGGAGCCUGUCUGCCUGGGAGGCAGCCAUCAGCCCAGCGGUGCUGCUGAGGACAGGUACUGCUGUUCAUUUCUGCAACUGCCCAGAGACACGUGCUGCGCCACAGGAAACACUGCCAAGGGCAGAUGGGACGAACCUGUGUGGGAUGUAAAAUAUUCAUCACACCUGCUUGGUGCAAAUGAACAUGAACAGUGGGAAUAUCCCUGUCUGCAGAAGGGAAACUACUCACUGGGCUCUCUUUUACAGCUCACAGAGCUGCAUACACACAACCAUUUUUGUCUCUGCACUACCCAAUGUAUGUGGGACUCCUUGGCUGCCCUCACAUUGCACUUAGGUGAUGCAGUCAGGUCAUCUCACUGUCUGGUCCUUCUCCCUUGGUGCCUGUAACUGUGACCCUGUUGGUGAUUCCAGAUGCUGUGAUGCUCCAGCCCUAUCCCUUAUACAGUCACUGAAAACACAUCUUCCCAGAGGAUAUAUGAACAGCAGACCAGACCAUACAUGUGUGCUUGUGCGCAUGCAGAUCUAUGUACCCAUGCACACAAACACAUGACUAUCUCCUCAUAUAAAUCCCCUAAUAAACUAAACAUAGGGUAAUCUCCUGACUCAGUCACUUUGACUCCCCACUUUUAAUUGGGCUAUUGCCUAUUUAGGUACUAAGCACUCCAGGACUGCAACAUCAUCUUUAUGUCAUCUGUAAAAUGUCUAGCACUCUGUUGGGAUAACUGCAGGAUAACAAAAAUUUUAAUGUGUUGAUUUCUAAUGUGAACAUUAUAUGGAGCUCAAAAAAGAGGAAUACAUUAAGUCAGCCAAGUAGUAUCUGUUUUCAACACACUCAGUUCAAUCCAGACAUCCUUUUGUGACUUGUUCUGUGUAAUUCGAUUAAACAAAAGCUAAUGUUAACUUAAACAGGUUGUACUGCACUGACAAUAAGAAGGUAGAGAUUGAUUUUUCAAGUGAAGCUAGAAUUCAUGUUUUGUGAUGGCUAAAACCAUAUUAUUUCUACAAUUAAAAAGU